rnacentral:tRNA from 1 species
GGGCCCUUAGCUCAGUUGGCUAGAGCGCCUCAUUUGCAAUGAGGAGGUCACCAGUUCGAGUCUGGUAGGGUCCACCA